rnacentral:rRNA from 1 species
GACGAACCGGACAAACGUUAUUCGGAAUUACUGGGCUUAAAGAGUGCGUAGGCGGCUUGGCAGGUUGGGUGUGAAAUCCCUCGGCUCAACCGAGGAACUGCGCUCAAAACCGCCAAACUUGAGGGAGACAGGGGUGAGCGGAACUGAUGGGUGGAGCGGUGAAAUGCGUUGAUAUCAUCAGGAACACCGGUGGCGAAGGCGGCUCACUGGAUCUCUUCUGACGCUGAGGCACGAAAGCUAGGGGAGCGAA